rnacentral:lncRNA from 1 species
AGCCAUUUAACUCUGAACUUAGAGUUCAGAAGUGGAGGGAGGAGAAAGCUUACUAUAAAGGAACAUAAUUUCACCAGUGCAAGAUGGGAAAAGCUGAUAUCAGUCAGAAACUUCUUUUUCUGAUUACAUACUUAGCCUUGUCACUACACUCUAGUCCCUACUUUA